rnacentral:rRNA from 1 species
GUGCCAGCAGCUGCGGUAAUACGUAGGGGUCGAGCGUUGUCCGGAGUUACUGGGCGUAAAGCGCAUGCAGGCGGCUCAUUACGCACGGCGUGAAAGCCCCCGGCUCAACCGGGGAGGGUCGUCGUGUACGGGUGAGCUUGAGGGUAUCAGGGGCUGGUGGAAUUCCGGGUGUAGUGGUGAAAUGCGUAGAGAUCGGGAGGAACACCUGUGGCGAAGGCGGCCAGCUGGGAUACACCUGACGCUGAGAUGCGAAGGCGUGGGGAGCGAACGGGAUUAGAUACCCCCGGUAGUCCACGCAGUAAACGAUGCAGACUAGGCGUGGGAGGACUUGACCCCCUUCGUGCCGGAGCGAACGCGAUAAGUCUGCCGCCUGGGGAUACGGUCGCAAGACUAAAACUCAAAGGAUUGACGGGGCCCGCACAAGCGGCGGAGCGUGUUCUUUAAUUCGUCGCAACGCGAAGAA